GCCAGCAUGGCGUAGUGGGUUGAGUGUUGGACUACAAAUCUAGAGACCAGGGUUCGAUUCCUAUCUGGGCC